GUGGGGAAUAUUGCACAAUGGGCGAAAGCCUGAUGCAGCAACGCCGCGUGAGGGACGACGGCCUUCGGGUUGUAAACCUCUUUUAGUAGGGAAGAAGCGAAAGUGACGGUACCUGCAGAAAAAGCACCGGCUAACUACGUGCCAGCAGCCGCGGUAAUACGUAGGGUGCAAGCGUUAUCCGGAAUUAUUGGGCGUAAAGAGCUCGUAGGCGGUCUGUCGCGUCGGCUGUGAAAACUGGAGGCUCAACCUCCAGCCUGCAGUGGGUACGGGCAGACUAGAGUGCGGUAGGGGAGAUUGGAAUUCCUGGUGUAGCGGUGGAAUGCGCAGAUAUCAGGAGGAACACCGAUGGCGAAGGCAGAUCUCUGGGCCGUAACUGACGCUGAGGAGCGAAAGCGUGGGGAGCGAACAGGAUUAGAAACCCCGGUAGUCC
rnacentral:rRNA from 1 species